ensembl:lncRNA
UUAAUUAAUGUAUAGUUGAAUUAAUGUAUAGUUUAAUUAGUGAAAGGUAUAGUUUCAUUCAUGUAUAGUUUAAUUAGUGAAAGGUUUUUGUGAAAGCUGACCAAUAGCAUUGUUGAGCAAUCCCUUUGAACUGAACGAUGACUCUCAGAUGCGAUUACAAUGUAAGAAGACAUCGCCGUGGGGCAUAAUUAGUCCAUAUCACCGUGGGGCAUAAUUAGUCCAUAUCACCGUGGGGCAUAAUUAGGCCAUAAUUAGUCCAUAUCACCGUGGGGCAUAAUUAGGCCAUAAUUAGUCCAUAUCACCGUGGGCAUAAUUAGUCCAUAUCACCGUGGGCAUAAUUAGUCCAUAUCACCGUGGGCAUAAUUAGGCCAUAUCACCGUGGGCAUAAUUAGGCCAUAUCACCGUGGGCAUAAUUAGUCCAUAUCGCCGUGGGGCACAAUAAGGCUGUGGGUUCUGGACAGUGUUCGCCAAGAACGCUUUCAAAAGGAAUCAUUGGAGAUCAUAAUAAGUCACACACACCCUCUCACACACACACCAUUCCCUAGCCUAUCGUACUGUACUAGUUAGAUUCUGUCCAUAGUCACCCUGUUGGCCGUGGCCCUGUCUCAUUAUCAGUGCCCAAUCCCAACAACACCCUCUCACACACACACACACACACACACACACACAUCUCAUUAUCAGUGCAGAAUCCUUAUCUUCAUCACAACUGGUAAUAUUACAGGACAGGGUUAGGGUUAGGGUCAGGGGUUAGGAUCUAACCCACGGGACAGUGCACCCCCUCUGUUAAAACAGGUCUGCUAAUAUGUUCAUGAGACUGAUAUGACUAGCCGGGGCCCUGUGGGUGAGGGCGUGGCCCUGUGGGGGAGGGCGUGGCCAUGUGGCGAGGGCGUGGCCCUGUGGGUGAGGGCAUGGCCAUGUGGGUGAAGUGGUAACUGCCCCUCUGGUUCACUACAGACUCCUCCUCUAACUGGAUGCUAUUGUUGUACACUCAGGUAGCACACACUUAUUCACACACACACACAUUCACACGCACACACACACACACACAGGGGCCAGGGUUCGGUGGUCCAGACUGUUUCUAAA